AACGAACGCUGGCGGCAUGCCUAACACAUGCAAGUCGAACGAACCCUUCGGGGUGAGUGGCGCACGGGUGCGUAACGCGUGGGAACCUGCCCUUAGGUUCGGAAUAACGUUUCGAAAGGAACGCUAAUACCGGAUAAUGUCUUCGGACCAAAGAUUUAUCGCCUUUGGAUGGGCCCGCGUUGGAUUAGCUAGUUGGUGGGGUAAAGGCUCACCAAGGCGACGAUCCAUAGCUGGUCUUAGAGGAUGAUCAGCCACACUGGGACUGAGACACGGCCCAGACUCCUACGGGAGGCAGCAGUGGGGAAUAUUGGACAAUGGGCGAAAGCCUGAUCCAGCAAUGCCGCGUGAGUGAUGAAGGCCUUAGGGUUGUAAAGCUCUUUUACCAGGGAUGAUAAUGACAGUACCUGGAGAAUAAGCUCCGGCUAACUCCGUG
rnacentral:rRNA from 1 species